CCAUCCGUUGCUGCUUGUAGAUUCGUGUGUGUGGACCCCACAUGAUUCUUGUAUCCGCCAACAAUCCCUGGAAGAUUUAUACAACAGGAAUACGGGGUGGACCCCGUGCGAGAUAAUAUCAACCCCACGCCGCUCGCUUUCCCACAACACCUCUCUUCCCCCUCUCUCUCUCAUAUGUUCAUGUUGGUCGCUGGUUGUCAUCGUCGGUCGCCCCAGCUAUUGCCGCCACAAAUCUGGCUUCUCUACCAACGUCCGGCAUCGGAUCCGGCUUCCCUAGCCGGCACCUACCACGGCUGGACACACACAAGACCAGCGGCGGCGAGGCUGUACCAAGAGGCCAACGAGGAGAGGCGUCAGAUCACGCUGGCAGAAGAUGGGUCCACUUCCGUGGGGAGACCUGCUCUGGCGUUGUUCGACCACAUCGGGCCAACCACAACGGGUCAACGAGGAGGGUCGUCACCAGAUCCGGCGACUCCAAGCAUGACCGACACCGGAUCUGGUGAGCCAUGAAGCCCACGACCAGAUGCAUUCAGCCCCACCCCAGAUGGACAGCUCCCCCUACUUGUGUGAUAUAUGGAACUGUUAUACUUGAUGGAAGUGAAGGUGUCAAAUUGAACUCGAUGUGAAGAUCUGUACCAGAUUGUGUGAUAUAUGUGAUAUUGUUGUUCCGAAAUUGAAAUAGAUAUGUAGAGAAGUGAAACUGCUAUAUUUGAUGUGAAAUACAGAUUUGUGAAAAUAAUACCCGUGAUGUCAAACGAAAUUGUAAUUGGAAAGUAUUUUUUGUGUUGAAAUGUUUUUUUUAAAUUGGAAGCCAUGCUUAUGUUUGUGAAACUUUUGUUUCUUCAUUAUGUGAAUCAGAACUGGUAGGUUCAUAUCUUUGAAAUGGUUUAUGUGAGUACUUUGAAAUAACCAGUUUCAUUCUUUCCUGCAAUAUGAUAUUCGAAUAACUGAAAUAUAGUCCAUUCAUUUAGAAGUCAAAAUAUAGUGAAACUGGUAUGUGUAUGAAAUGUUUCAGUUUUCAAUAUUUAUGUUUUUAUGUCACUCUUUUGUAAUAAUCAGUUUCACUUUUUUUUGGAAAGUAUAUGAAAUUACUUGUCCAAAAAUAUAUGAAAUUGAUAUUUUGUAAGUGUGUAAUUUUUUAUUCUAGUGUGAUCUUUACUGAUUUUUUUUUGAAUUAUAAAUUAUAUUUGUUUGUGUCACUUUUGAUAUAAUGAAUUUCACUCUUUUGAGUAAAAAUGAAUUUGGAAUAGCUGAAAGGACCUUUUUAAGAAAUUGAAACUUUUUAUGGCAUCCAUUUGAAUAGUCAGUUUCAUUUAUUUGUGACUAUUGCAAUUAGUUAAUAAAAUGGGUGAAAUUAGGAUUUUUUUAAAAACAUAUUAUUAUUAUAAAAAAUUAGGAUAAUAUAUGACAGAAACACUUUUUGUACCUUUCAUCCUCUGGCCGUCGACCAUGUCUGAAUGUCCAACGCAGAAGCCUUCUUCAGAAGACAAGUUUUUCCGUGGAAAGUUCAUCCGAAACAGAAAUGCAGAUUUAAAAAAAAUACAGGAAUGCAAGUGGUGGUGAUAUUGGCGACGGUUGCGUCUCGCCCACAACAGCAAGACACAAACCAGUAUUGCCUCAAGGAUGUCGUAAAUGGCAUGCCAUAAUCAUGCUACGUAUAGUUUUUGUUUGUUUAAAAAAUUUAUUCAUAUUUUCAAAAGUAAUUAUAGAUACAUAUAAUUCAAAAAUGAUAAUGUAUACAAAUUUCGUAAAAAUUUUCACCUCAAAUUUGAAAAAUGAUAACAAGGUCUAUAUUUUUGUUUAGUGUAAUUUGAAAAUUUUGCUUAUAUUAUUAAAAAACCAUGCUAUUUAAAUUUUUUAAGCAUUUCAAAGAAAUGUAUGUAAUUUUUUAAAUGUUAUACAAUUUUAAAAAUGUUCGUGUAAUUGAAAAAAUGUACAUCACAUUUUUAAAAAGUUCACUUGUUUCAAAAAUGUGUUUAUGAUAUACUAAAAAACGUUAAUGCAAUGUCAAAAAAGUUUACACGGCUAAUAUAAAAUGUUCUUUAUCAUGCAAAGUAAUGUUUUCAACAUGUAUUUCAAAAAUGUUUAACACAUUGAAAAAUGUAUUCAAAAACAUGUAUUUCAAAAUAUUAAUCAUGUGUUUAAAAAACGGUUUUUUAUCUAUACAAAAAAUGUACAAUAUAUAUGAAAAUAACAGACAUCAAAACAUAUAUUAAAAAAAGUAACCAAGGAUAACAAAAGUUUCUGAUGUAUAUGAAAAUAUGUACAA